rnacentral:misc_RNA from 1 species
CUAUUAAUGCUAAUCGUAAAGUUCAAAAUCAGGGCUUAAGUUAAAAUAAACGAGUGAUAAUCUAAAUCCGAAUAAGCGAUGUCUAACCAGAUACUCGUAGAAUUAUUCAUAAAUGAACGAAAAGAAAGAUUUGUUAUACCUCGGUUGUGUUCAUCGAACAGUUAACAUGCCAAAAAACAAAAAAAAAGAAAAAGGAAAAAGAGAGAAGGAAAGAAAUGAAACGUUUAUAUAAAUGCACCAAAAAUGCUUGUAAACUCACCUGGCAAGAGAGAAACGUAUAUUUUUAGAUAUAUAAAUAAGUAGUACAUAUAAGAAACGUUUACCAAAAAGAUAAUGCAGAUUUAAAAAGGAAAAAGGAGGCUCGUCUCUGCUGGAGUUCUGAAAUCUACAGGAACAAAGAAAAGCUGUUACUAUUGGCUCGGUUCUGCUCCUUACUGCAUAUCAAGACGAUAAAUUAUAAUUGGACUUGUGGUAACUUUUCGAUGAGGAAACUUUCGUUGCCAAAAGAAAAAUCGAACAUCGAUUUUUUGGUAGCUAUUAAAAGAUUUCGAGGGCGUAUCAAAUCGAGUAAUGUUCUUCGAAGAAAACAUACUGUUAUAAACCUUUGACAUAUUUCGAGGAUAGAUAUAGAUGUGUAUCAUCGAAAAAUCUGGAGUAGUUGGCUCGGCACCAAAUUACUGAUGACACCUUAGUCACACGAGCACCGAUUUCUGUCUAAUCAGCGACUCUCGAUCAUCCGGCUAAAUGGUCCGAGCUAUCUGCUACAAGAGCGAUCUCGGGAACUUUAAAUUACACUGUCAACUUAAAAACUUGAUAAUUCGUCGAUAGCGCACAUUAUCUGUUAUUCGAGUUAAUGAGGAAAUUUCUAAAUCUGCAAAGAGGAAUGUAUUUGAAAGAGUGUAGAAAUAAUUUCGAGUGUGUUUAACUAUUUAUCAAUCGUCAAUUUCAAUUGUGAUAAAGUGUAAAAUAUAAAACGCCAUUUGAAUAUGGAAAUAAAAAUUCUUUUUCUGCCUUUCUAGAGACUUUAAAACGAAUAAAAUAUUCUAGAUAUAGAUGUCCAUCCUAAAUUUAUUUAAUCUGAUUUUCUAUAUUUAUGUAUCACAACACAUCGAUUCUGUGCUAAAUGAAUUAUCCAUCAUUUGUAUAUAAAACAG